UACAUACUAUAGCCGACGAAUAUAUUAGGGUAUUCGUCGGCUAAACCCUAAACUUUUUCUGUUACAUACUAUAGCCCUAUCUUCGGUGGUUAUUUUGCGUAAAAUUUUUAUACGACUUAUUGUGUCUCAUCGAUUUGAAAAUAUUUUCAGUUGAAGGUCCGGCCAAAAUACGAAAUUUAGACGGUCCAACGACCUUUUCCGUGCAUUUAGGGGUUUGACUUACGGGAUUGACCGUCCGGAUCGAGCACUUAACCUUGUCAGAUCAAGUUGAAUUUUUUCUCAUACAUGUAUUUUAUCAUGAUGGUCAGAUCUGACCGUCGGAUUUCCUUUUCUCAAGUUCGAUCAUCACAAUCACAACAUGCUUACUAAUGUUGUAUAACUUGUUUACCAAGUGUUAAGUAAAUGUUCCGUUUCAAAAACAAAUUAUACGUAGAACCUUCAAACGUAAAAAAGUCGUGAAAUAAGACAUGACCAGAAUGAUGAAAUACGUCUACAAUUGAAAAAUCACGGUAUUCCGGUCAUGUCUCGGUGCCGAUAGUUGCGGUCAAUGCAAUUUUCCAUUCUUUCUCCCUAUGGGUAGCCCUAUCUUCGGUGGUUAUUUUGUAUAAAAUUUUUAUAGGACUUGUUGCGUCUCAUCGGUUUGAAACUAUUUUCAGUUGAAGGUCCAGCCAAAAUACGUAAUUUAGACAGUCCAAUGACCUUUUCCGUGCGUUUAGGGGUUUGACUUAACGGAUUGACCGUCCAGAUCGAGCCCUUAACCUUGUCGGAUCAAGUUGAAUUUUUUCCCAUACAUGUAUUUUAUCAUGAUGGUCAGAUCUGACGGUCGGAUUUUCGUUCUAAAGUUUGAUCAUCACGAGCAGCAGUCACAGUUUGACGAAUGUAUAAAAAGUUAUAAAGCCGACGAAUUUAAAUGGUUAUAGCCGACGAAUUUUGUGUUUAGCCGACGAAUUUCAUAGGUUUAGCGGACGAAUUUCAAAGGUUUAGUCGACGAAUUUUAUCUUAGCCGACGAGAUUAUUAUCUUUAGCCGACGAAAUAAUUAUUUCGUCGGCUAAAGUGUUAGGUUAGCCGACGAAAUUAUUACCUUUAGCCGACGAAAUUAUUAUUUCGUCGGCUAAAGUGUUCGGGUAUAAACCCUAGCCUCCUUUUCCUCUCCCUCUCCGAAUUUCCCCUCCUCCGCCUCCGCUCCCUCGGUCGUUCGGUNNNNNNNNNNNNNNNNNNNNAUUUACCCUCAGAAAUAUGACAGAAACCAUCCAGACUAACCGAGGAGAUGAUGAAAUAUAUUUAAAUUGGUUUGGGUUGUCAACUUAUGUACUAAUAUGAUAGUUCCGAAAGUAUAUUCAUCUUAAUUAUUAGUGGACGAUAGUUCAUGUACUGUUUUUGAAAUUUUCGCUUUCUAUUAGGGUGGAUUGUAUAUCCAUGACAAUAGUGCCCAAGGGAGACAAAUCCCUAGUUAGAUAGUCGGUGGCUUGCUAUCAGUCUCAAUGAUAACUUGAGAAACACUCAAGGAAUGUAGCAGAUAAAGGCCAUAUAUAUCUCAUAGCUACCAACUCAUAAUGUAAAGGAGAACAUAUGAAGUCCACAACCUAUGAAGUAGCAAACUGACCCUGACUAUGUCGUAUGACUCGUA
rnacentral:lncRNA from 1 species